CAAUAAAGUUAUGUGGUGAAGUUAGCGUUCAGUCAUUAAUUUUCUUCGGAGAGAAAUUAACGUGUAUUUCUAUAAAUUACGCUUGUCGAGAAAUAAUAAAAAAUAAACAAAUAGUUGAAGAUAUUUUCAAUUAAAAAGCCAAUUUUUUGUAAAGUUUAUUAUAAAUUCAAACAAACGACGCAUGUGGAUUACGCGCUGCAUGGGUGGAGCAGGCAUAAGGAUUGCAAUUCGAAUUCAAAGUGUUCCUGACGAAAGAAUUAAAGACGCAGAAAAAAUCGAAGCUAACUGCAAGAAAGAGGGUUUAAAACGUAGUGCAAACCAAUUGGAGAUGAAGUGAAAAUAAAAUAAAAAAAAGCGAAUCAAAUAAAAAGUGUGAAGCAGCAAAUUAGAAGCUGAAAGAAAAAAGUGCAUUUGCAUUCUUAUUGCAUUUUUUUCUUUGUUGCACAUUCCCGUCCGUUCACUGCUUACAGAAUUUAUUGAAGCAAUUCCGUGCAUAUACAAAAAACGAAAAAUAAUUCAAAAUUAAUUUCCGGCGCAUAAAAAUUUUUUCAAAGCUGGAUUAUAAUAAAUCCGACGAUAUUGGAUCUCUACAGGAAAACAAUUCUGGAGUGACCAACAAAAUGGUGAAACGAGUUAAUACCGAGCUAAAAGUGGUGCCCCAAUCAAUCAUAUUAAAGCAAAUUGUCACAAGUCAUUAUUUGAAAUACGACAAAAACAAAACCAUGUUUAAAGCACGCCAUAAACCUCAGUCUAUUCUCGGCGCUUAUAAAGAUGUGUGGAUGUGUGUGGAUAACCACUUGCUAAGUGCGCCAAAUUGAUUUUUAUCGAAUUACGUGUCAAUGCGAUUAAACAAAUUGCAGUUCGGUUCAGUCACAUCAUAAAUGUGUACAUAUGUAAAUAUGUAUGCAUGCACAUAGUAAAUUAUCAUAGAUGCAAAAACCAAUUGGAUUGCCAUUGCGCACAAAUUUAUAAAGCAAUCCUGUCCCUUAUCAGCCUUGUGAUGGAGUACUGUGUGCAAUAAAGCAAUUCGAGUGUCUGAUUCUGCUUCUUGUCAUUCGUGCCAUUGUCCGAUUGUGUAACAGCUGAGGUCUAUGAGCGAUUUGAGAAACUGCGUCUUUCAAUUUUUAUUUACUGAACAAAAAAGCGUACGAAUUUGAAUUCUUACUAUAAAUAUAUCUGUGAAUUGCGACUGCUUAUUUGUCAGCGAAAUACAUUAAAAAAAAAUGUUUUUUGUUUCUUUACGAAUACGAGUAAGUCCAACAGGCAUAGGGGCUACCUGACAUGAGCGCAGUGCGGCACGUGUUCAGAACACGGGCUUUUUUGUUUAAGACAACUCAGCUACUAAUAUUCUUUCAACACCUGGUAGUGUUUUUGAUGAUCUCACUAAAAAGUAAAUAUUAAACUUUCGCUUAUAUUUUCUUAGUUACUAUUCAAUGUAAUUCAAGUGGUUGUUUGUAGUGCUAUGGUUGUUAAAGAGAAAUAUGUAUUCCAAAAUGCGUUCAUAUAUGUAUGCACAAACAUACAGUUGCGAACACGAAAAUAGCAGUACCAAAAAAGAUUAGGUUUUUCUUACAAAAUUUGUAAUCUACGAUGCGAUUAGAAAACUUUCAUAAUUGUUUUGAAUAAUUAUUCCAUUGUUUAACUAAACACAUGUUUAAAUAAAUUCUAUAACGAAAAACAAAAAUUUGUAUAACAAAAAAAUAGCAAUUCAUUGAAUCUACCAAUUGCUCAAAUCGCUGCUUCGGAAUCUUCAGUCACGCAUCUUUAACAAUUUUCCUAAUUUUUUUUGUUGUUGAUUUUUACUCGGUUUGGCUUUGUGUACAGCUCUUUUUAAGUCCCCCCACAGAUUUUCUAUAGGUUUUAGGUCGGGGCAAUGAGCUUGCCAUUCCAUAACUUCAAUUUUAUUUGCGCGAAAACAAUCCUUGGUUGUUGUUGUUGCAUCAGCAUAUUCGUUCUCAAUACGUGUACGGGGAAUGCUACUGGAGUGACAGCCUUUGAACUGAUAUAUAGAUCUCGGUCAUUGCGGUAAUGUAGAAACGACUUUUGUGGGAACGUGGUGAAAAGCAUUGGUUGCAUGAGUGCACUUUCUCACGUGGAAAAAAAAGAAUUUCGCGCCGUUUAUAUUCGAUCAAGAUAAAGAUCCCAAGCGCUCAUCUCACCAUGCAACUCAAUUUUUUGCAGAAAACCAACUACAUCGAAUAGCUCAAUUGGCCAUCACAGUCCUCGAAUUUAAAGCCGAUAGGGCGCUUCAAAAAAAAAACUUCGGGAUCUGUUCGGAGAUCAUCAGUACGUUGAUAUCUCGCCAAGAAAUUGGCAAAUUCAGUCCGAAUUAGGGAAUACUAACUGAUAAGCUUCGGUUUUAUCCAUUUUUUGUUCAGUUUAAGCUACUACAAACUUUGUUUGACGCCUUUGAUAUGAAAUCUUUGUUUUUUAAACAAAUACCUACCUGUGUUUUGAAUGAAACUCCUGAAAAAAGAAAUGUAUUAAUUUUAAUUUAAUGUACCUAUGUAUAUUAUAUUUUUUGUGUUCUGAAAAGCUAUACAAAAUUUAAAAAAAAUUUUUUAAACAAUAACCAUUGUAAAUUCAUAAAUUUACGUUCACAUAUUUUGAUAAUUUUCUUAAUCGCUUAACCGAUAACCGUUUUAAACGAAUCGCGCUCGCGCUUGCGGUGAACAUACUCUUACCCACCAGGCCGAGUGCUGCUAACAUGUUUCGACAUGUUUGUCUUACAUAUGACACAUGAACGAAUCGUGCUUGCCAAUCGCAACUUGUCAUUUGUUCUUAAUAUUUUUAAACAAUAUACAUAAACUUAUAAAAACAAAAUAAAAAAACCUGCUGUUUUUUGGUAACAUGCAUAUUUGUGAAAAACCCGAGCGUCAAGGUGCUAAAAACUAGAUAAUUUUCCUCGACAUAAGCUUUAAUAUUUUCCCCACAAAUAUUUCCCGUUCGUUUUCAUUCGUCGUAGAAAAAAUAUCACGAAAUUGAUAUCAUAAAUUAUGUGUUUCUAAUUUGAGUGCUCUUACUCGGCAAUUUUACUUCAACAGAGCUUUUUUUUCUUUGAUAUUGUAUUACAAAAAUGCCCACCGCCAAUUUCCUUGCUCCUACUUUCUACUUUUCGUACACCAACUCACCCACCCAACCCCUUAAAAAUACGAUUCCCGUGCAUUGGCACAAGUGAAGGCAGCAGCAUCGCGCCGCCAUUAGAACGCUAACACCACCGCAUCUCUUCCAACAUCCAAAAUAAAUCUGCUUUUCAUGCGAUGCGUCUGCGGAAAAAUUAACGCAUGCGCUGCUCUGCCACAAUUGCAAUCCAAUCCAACUCAAUCUAAAAUGCAAUUCUGUGCGAGAACUCGAAAAUGUCUAGUAUGCGAGUGUGUUCAUAUGUAUGUAAGUGCGCACAUUUGUAUGCGUGUGCUAACAUAUUUUUGUACAUCAACGCGUACGCUUUGUUUUUAGAUAAAAUUUUAUACAUUUUUGGAUGCGAUUGCUUCGGCGGCAAUCCAAGCGAGUUGCAGCUGUGAACGCUAAAGUGACGAUAAAAUGAGUGUCCAAGUGAUGCCCCAAAAGGUGGAAUAUAAAUAGCUGAUGUCGGCGUUGGUGUUGUUGUUUAUAUUUCUCUUGCUUUGUUUCUGUUUUUGUACAAUCCUUGAGAUUUAUAUUGCAUAUAUGCGGUUGUUCUUGUUUUGCUUUGUUGCAGCUGCUGUUGCUGUACAAUUUUCGGAGUUCUUACUGCGGUUGGUGUUGUUGUGUUUUGCUUUAUUCCUCCUCAACCUCAACCUGCCUCAAAAGCUAAUUCCUGAGUUGUGUUGAGUUUCAGUUUAUUUUCCUCGAAAAUGUAUCUCAUUUUUUGUUUUUUGUUUUUUCUUUUUUGUUUUUUCUUUUUUGUUUUUGUUAUCCCAAAACACUAAUUUCGUUUUUGUUGCUUCUUCGUGCACAAGCACACACUUAUGCACACAUAUCCACAUAUGCUGCCUGGCCGUCAGUUUGCUUUCAUUUCAUUCGGGAAUUGUUGCUUCUAACUACCAGGUUCUCAGUGCAACAACUGUGGUUGCCUGUCUGCACUUCUUGUUGGCUGUGAGCAACGCAUCUUUCGCCGCGCGCUAUUCAUUCAUUCAUUCAUUCAGUGGCAUGGGUAGAAAAUCAGGUAAGGCAAUGCUUACAGUCGCUGGCUAUUGAAUUAUGAACGAUGCUAUAAACUGAAGAACUCGAAUUUCAGCUUUUGAUAAAAAUUAAACUAGAAGUUGUGCUAAAACUUGAAAAAGGAACAUUGACUUGUUUGUAUGGUACAGACUAUAACGCAAAAUUAAUCACCCUACAAAAAUAUUUAUAAAUUUCGUACAUACGUAAACCAUAUUUCAACUACACUGCUGCAGUAAAUUAACGACAGGCAAUGGAGCGCGUAAAGGUUAAAAUAAAGAUUUCCAUCACUCAAACUCGGUUUUUAUGUAGUAAAACAGUUAUUCAGAAACAAAAUUGUACAUGCUUCGUAUGAUUGUCGAUGCUUCGUAUGAUAUAUCGGUCACCUCGAGAGCCAAUUUUUUGUUUGUUCGAAAAUGCAUUGGCAUUCAUAACUCCGUUCCCAUUAAGUCCCAGUUCCUACCACCGUAACGUACCACUCCAAUAUCAUCAUCACCUCUAUAUAUUCGAUCACCUCAAUAUAUCGUACACUAUGAUCCGUUUAUAGGCUUCGGAUAUAACGAAAAAUGUGAAAAAGCGACCUCUACGUUUAACCAAAAAAUUUUUUUUCGAAAUUACUUUUCAAAAAUACGUCAGAAUCAGUAUGACGAACCCUUUUUUCGGUGCGGUUUGAUAUACAUCCCUCUUUUAACCUUUCGAACACUCCAUGCCAAUAUUUCAUUGUUCGAACGGAUUCAAAUCUUUCCCGUUUUAAUCCAGUUAUUACCAUAAGAACCAGAUAGAAGUUGCACGAGCAAGAUCAUGCAAAUAAAGCCUCAUAACGAGAUUUUCCCAACCUAUUGUUGUUGCAACUUAUACUUAUAUCCAUAGAUUUUUAUAAGAACGUUGCUGCUGUGGCGGUCCGAAUAUAAAUCCGGGUCGUUCCAGUAAUGCAGAACUGACUGUCGUGGGAACGAUAUGUCUGAUUGUUGUUAUUGUUGUAGCAGUAUAAAAAUGCCCCAUACAUAUACGGGGAAUACUGCUGAGGUGACAGUCCUUGUGGGAACUGUUAGUUUCUGUUGUUUGCCCUGGGCAUUUUUCCAGUUUAUUUUGACUCUUGUUGGACUACCAUAAAACCUGCAAUAUUUUGUGCCCAGAAUCCUUCAUUUCCUUCAGAAUUAUUUCACAUGAUACGCCUCACUUCUGCAUGUCUCACUUGUUGUUUUCGAAUUUCUGAAAAAUCUCAAAAAAAAAAAUGAAUCAAUUUUUACCUUGCAUUAUUACCGAAAGUUCAAAAUAAUGUUUUUUUUCUUAUAUUUUGCAAACACGUUAAAAAUGCAUCGAUCAUAAUACAGUGGCCACAGACUGUAUAUAAAUCUGACCUCUGCCACUGCUGACUGCCUGCGUAAAAGCAAUGAAAUAAUGAAUUUAACGACUACCUCGUCCGAGGCAUGUUAUUUUAUUGCAGUUGUUGUUGCAUUAAUAUUUUUCUUUGCGUUCAUACUGAGAUUUCAUAUUGCCUUAAACGAUAAUUCGAUACGCAGCAUUUACCAUUUUAAUCGCCAACGGUUUCCUUUAAUUUAUUUUAUAAAAGUCUAGGCGAGAUCAUAAAAGAAACUAAUACCGAUAAUAAUCAUAACAAUAACAAUUAAAGUAAUUUAUGCACAGAUAACUUCUUUGGUGUUGGAUGGACAAAAAAAUGAAAAUGGACAAAUAAAAAAAAUGUUAAAAAUCAAUGCGGUUUUUGAGCCACUUCAAACUUGUAAUUUAUUGUACCAGAAUUUAACGGGCUAUAAAAAUGCUUACUCGGAAUGGUUCUAAAAAUUAUGCUUAAAAUAAAAUAAAUAAAUAUUUGCAUAAAGUUUGAAACCUGGAUAUACCUGUACAUAGAGUUGGGUAUUUCCCGAGAAAAUCCCAAUCUCGAGAAUCGGGAUUUCCCGAAAUAACGAAAAUUUCAAUUCUCGAGAUGCGGGAUUUCCCGAAAAUAAUUUUUGAGAUUUCUCGAGAAUUCUCGAAAAUUCGGGAAAAAUUCCAAAAAAUUAAAAAAAAAAUCUAAAACCAGUGUAAGAGCAAUGAAUUUCAUAAAAUAUUAUUUUUAUUUAUUUUUAUUAAAGUAUAAACUACAUAAAAAAAUAUUUGAAAAUAUUACUAUUUCAAUUAUUGCAAACAAAAAAGUGAAACAAAAAUAAUUACAAAAAAAUUCAAAACAAAAAUAAUUCAAGAUAAUACUUAUUAAAAUAGGGGGAAAAAGUGAUUGUAAACAUUAUUUCCCAAAUGGUGUUUUAAAAAACACAGACUGUUAAUGGCUUCGUCUGACAAUCGCGUACGCUUUUUGGACCCGCUGUAGAAAAAUUCCUCUCAUUUUGAGUCGAUGUUGGCUUAACAGUGUUAAAAGCCCCGAUCAGUCUUUCAACAUUUUGUGUUUUCUCUCCAGUUUUUUCAUAUAGUUUUAGCUCGUUUCUAAGCGACGAAAACAUCUGGUUCGCCGCAUGUUGCGCAAUGUCUGCUUUCGGUUUUGAGCAUUGCUGAACGUAUUUUUCAAGCUGUUUCGCCAUAUCUUCUUCAUCGACGUUGUUGGUUGCCAGCUGAAAGCUUUGCAUUUACGAGCUCAUAUACUUUUUCAGCGGGACAUGAUUCCUGAAUGCGAACCAGGCCAAGGUUGUCAGAUUGUCCAUCGUCAUAAUAUAUAUGGAUGUUCAUGUAACGUCGGUUUCGCACGCUUGUCCACUCGUCGAUGCUCAAGCUGAACUUACGCUGUACAGAUUUAAAAUUUUCAAUUUUGAUCUUCAAAUCGCUUUUUAUUUUUGUGCAGUACUUCAUAACCAAACCCAGAACAGCUUUGUGACACUUUGGAAGAUGAAAUCCUAAGCGGCUGAUACUAUUACGAAUGAACUCAGUUUUUGUUAUCGCGUUUAUUGGAACUCCAUUUUUUGCUGCCAAUUUUGCAACAAUUUGUUCAAGCGAUUCAGGCGAGGAAGAAGUAUUGAAAAAGUUGUGAAGAGUUCGGGUCUUCUUGGCUGGUGGCUGUUCUUUUGGAGCCUCAUGUUCCCUUCGCUUCAUGUUGUGUAUCCUCUCCAUGUGACGGUGAAGUCCAGAUGUUGACGAUGACUUGCAUUUAAUGAUUUUAUUGCAUUUCAAACAUGUUGCUUCGUCGUCAAAUCGCUUGAAAAGCUGCCACACUUGGUCGUAUUCGUAUUCUGAACUCAUGAUUUUUAAUGCUAAAAAUUCAAAAUUUGUUUUAAAUUUUGUUUUUUAAAGGAAGUAACUAACCGGUACUCACAGUCAACGAUACGUCGAUUCAAAACUUAAAAAUAAGUAAUAUUUGGACCACAAAAUAUUUUAUUAUACGGUGUAUAAUUUAUACUUAAUCAGGUACCACAAAAUGAAAUGCACCCGCUCACUACAAAAAAUAAAUUUACAAACGUCGUCUGUGCAGUCUGCGAACAAAUUGAAAGUGCUUAACUAUUUUCAAAGCAUUCCUAAUUGCUUAACUGCUGCUACAUAUAAGAAACACAUACAACUAAACUUCAUUAGCUUGAUGUUACAGUGCUUUCCCUCGACAUAGCAUAGCAACGCAUCUAGCAUUUACUCUGUAGUCACCCUAAAACAAAAAAAAAACAAACAAAUGGAACAGUUAUACUGUUGUGGCUUUUCGCAUAGCAAUUGAAACUAUGGUGUGAAUUGUAUGUGAUUCUGCGAAACAGUAUGUUCCUUGUAACAUAAUGGCCGUUACAGUUUGGUGUUUCCAGGUAUUAAUCAUAUGUAUGUGUAUUCUUUUACUUUUGAAAGAACUGUUUUUUCUCUUAAUAUUUGACAACAAAAAUUAAAAAAAAAAUGGAUUUCUCGAGAAAUCUUGAAACAUUCUCGAGAUUCGGGAUUUCCCGAAAUGCUAAAAAUUUCAAUUCUCGAGAUUCGGGAUGGAAAAAUAUCGAGAAUUUCUCGAGAAUUCCCGUCGGGAAAUUCCCGAAACCCAACUCUACCUGUACAUGGUUUUUGUAGCAGAAUGAACUAUAUUUUUGUAAAAAAUAAUAUUGAAGUGAACUAAGAUAAAAAUAAAUUGUCGGAACUUGUCAAUAAGAUAUUAAUAAAUAUUAAUAACAUAGGACCACAAUCUCGAAAAAUAUGAUUUUGCCAAUACUGACACCCAAUUUCAACUCAAAUAUGUCGUUUAUCUCUUUUUUAUAAAGUAAGAAGUAUGAAAAUAAGAGGUUAGGCAAAUCAUCGUGUCGAGUUAUAAAGGUCACCAACGAUGGCUUCGCUCCUAUACAGGGUAAAAGGAUAGAUAGUGGGAUAGAUUACGCUGAACUCGAAUAUCAAAUUUCCAUAGACAGAAAGAGAGUGACGAAAUUCCUUUGGAAAGUCACCGUUGGGACGAUGUAAUCAGUUCUUCACAAGGUGUACCGAGUUUGUCACAAUAAUAGACUGGCCUGACCAAAAGUGGGCAUACGCAAAAGAAACUAUUUCUUAAAUAAUCGAAAAAACCGAAUAUCUCGAAAAUUGAAAAAUUAAAAUUUCAUUUUUUUUUAUUAGAAUUUGUCGGAAAAUUUCGAGUAUGCAAGAUUAUAGCCCAUUGAAUCUUAGUCAAUAAAAAUGUCACCUUGAAGUGGCUCAAAAAUCUCGUUUAUUUUUGGCAAGUUUUUUGCCGAUGGUGUUGGGUACUUUCUUCCACAUAAAAAAAAAUAUAUAUCGAGCAUUAUUUUCAAAAGUGCAGCGAUGGAUUCUCUCGCAUUAUUGCCAUAUGUUUUUUUUUGUUUUUAUGUUGUUUUUAUAUUAAUGUUCCCACAGGAGUCGAUUGCACGUUAUAGGAGCGACCCGGAUUUAUAUCCGGCUAAGGACUGUUAGUCGAGCAGCAUUCCCCGUACAUGUAUGGCGAAUGUUUAUGCUGCUACAACAACAACAACAAAAUGUCUUCUCAAUCUCAAAAAACAAUAUCGCACCUACUUUCAGCAUUUUUAUAGAUUUUACACUCACUACUAUACACUUUAAUCUACAGGAAAACUUGUCGCAAAAUAUCUACACGGAUUAUAUAAAAAAUGUUUAAGUAAAACUUCCGCAAAAACCACUACUUUCUAAAAGCCUUACAACCUUGGUGUGUACAGUAAACUCUUGUGUAAUACUACCUUUGGGAAUCCCACCUCUUUUUACAUAAUUCCUUCGAAAAUUUCUCGCUCUCGCAUUUCCUUGUUGCAUCAAAAGUCAACAUUGCGUCAAAAGUCUAAUGUUUUUUUCACUAAGCCAUGUAGUACAUAACAGCUCUUGACAUCUGCCUGUGAAAAUAACAAACUACUCCGUCUGUUUGGUGUCCUCUUUGGUGUCUUUUUUCAUUUCGACAUUUUUUUUACUUCACACUUCGCUGCAAAGUGGUUAACUCGCAUCAUUUAUUGCCCGAGUAACCGACCAAAUGUUAUUUGCUCUGGCCGACCAUUGACCUGCGCGCUCACUGCCUGCUUAGGUGGUGAUGCAGUCGCCAUCGCCGCCACCGCUAUUGGCGGCGCAAAGGCAACAAAAAGAAGCACCACAGCAACAGUUAAAACGAAGGCAAUUGUUGUGGCGGCAAUGACCUGCGGUUAAUCAAAUCUCGGGCAUGGUCGGCAUUAAUUUUGAACGAAUAUUCAAGCGGUCGCGCAUUUAAUCUCAGCUCUGCUGCACAAGCGCUCGUUGGUUGCGUCUCAUUUGUGGCAUGUUGAUUGAUAAUUGAGUCUAGCACGAAACUUAGAUGGAAGAGACGCGACCGGUGCGAAGCAGCAACACACCUAGUCGCAGUGGACCGUCAGCCCGAUUCGGGGAGCUUUUGGGGAGUUGUCUGUCUGCUUUCCUCAGUGCUGUUGCUGCACUGCAAUCAUUUUCAUCUCCCCAUACAUAGCUGUUGCUGUUGUCAGUCCAAUUAUUGUGAAUAAGUGUGCGUGGCAUGAUUUUCACUCAUUUUUCUGAAGCAGUUUAAUCUUUACAAAUUUUCAAGAUGAUUUGCUGAUUAAAUUGUUUGCUAUAAUCACAUGCUCUCCACUCUCGUUGUUUUUGUUUACUUGGCAAUUAGAUUUGUAUUACGUACACACACACAUACACAACCAAGCACUCAUUUUUGCACACACGCUUCACUCACAGUUUUCUGAUUGCUUGCGGUUGGUGGGGCAGCGAGUUUAUAAUGGGUUAAUUUUUCGCUUAUGGCUGAAAAUCGUAAAUCUAAAACGGAAUAUACAAUUUUCGUUUGCCUUUGGAACACUUGGCGAGGGAUAUUUGCUGCGUAAAUAAAAUAAUUUAAACCCAAGUGGGUCUUUAAGAUAAAAAUAAUAAACAUUUUUCUUAAAAUAAAUGGUUACAACGCCAAAAAAUGGCACAAUGGUAUAAACUUAUAAACGAGAACAAAAUAAUAACGAAGAGAAGCGCAUAAGAAACCGCAGAAAACUAGCAAAUGGUUAGAGAGUGGACGAAAUGCAACAUUCAUUUUUAAAAUCAAAAUAAAAGGAUUGAGCUUUUCCUUUGCUUUGCUUUGUUAGAAAGAUCAAAUUUCUAUUAUUUUUCGAAAAGAAAUUCAUUAAUGGCCUCGUCUGUCGCCAUCUAUCCAACGAAUUGUUGACGUAUCCUGCCACUAAGUCUGGCUCCGUUGUUUUUAGAAGUGCUUAGGGAUUUUUUAAGGGCUUAUGUCUACAUAGAGCGAUCGCUUUAGUCGAAUAGAUUGGUGCGUGUCUACUAUUCGGUAGUGCCAAGGUUCGAAUCUCCGGGCAUGUAACACAAGAUGUUAAAAAAUUAAUAGCGGUCGCACCUCUGCGGGCAGUGGCAAACCUCUGGGUGUAUAUCUGCCACGAAAAAGGUCCCCCAUAAAAACUAUCUGCUGUAUGGAGGCAGUAUAAAAGUGUAGGUCUUUUCAUUCGUGGAACAACAAUAAGAGGCACAUCAUAAAUAGCAAGAGGAGCUCGUUGGACAUUUGAGCUUAUAAUUGUUGUUGUUUUAGUAGCAUAAACAUUGCCCAUGUACCUACAUAUGUACGUGGAGUGCUGCUAGAGUGACAGUCCUUGACCGCAUAUAAAUCCGGGUCGCUCCGGCAACGUGGAACCGACUGCCGUGGGAACGAAGUCAUGAUUGUUGUUGUUGUUUUGGUCGUUAUUUGUUCUUGUUGGUGGAGGUGUUAUCCCUGUUGCUAUUUUUUGUCUGUGGUUGUUGUUGUUGGUAAUGGUGGUAGUGUCUCUUGUUGUUGGUAUUGCGUUUAUGUUGGUAUUAUGUCAGUUGUCUUUCUUCUUUUUGUUGUUGUUGCUGCAGUUCACGAUUACCUCUCAAAGUGGGUGCCUUCGACCUCAUUAUUGCACCAGUAUCAAAAAUGUCCCAUUACAAAACGAGCUAGUUUUAACCUUCUAGUUUUCAACAAAUCUAUGAAAUUCGUUUUGAAAUAUGUUAAAAAACCUUUGAAGAAUUUGAAGAAUUGGCUGGCGGGAAUAGAAUUUUGUUCAAACGGGGAAGCGAUUGCAGAAACGAAUGGCUAUUUUUCAGAUUUGGACAAAUCCAAAUAUUCGGGAGGAAUGAACAAAAUGGAAUAGCGUUGGACGAAGUGUACAGGGUUGCCCAUAUUCGACGGACCCGACGGAUUUCGAUGACUCUUUUGGCCCAUUCCAAUCGACGAGGCUUGUCCGCAGGCACCAAUCUUUGCGUCAAUUGAAUCUUAUACGGGAAUAAAUGCAAAUCAAUGCGGAUAAUUCGUUGUAAAGUGGUCCGAGCAAUGCCCAACUGCUAAGAACGGCGAUUUUGGGAUGUCCUUGGCAACGUCUCAACACUGGCCAGUCGAAAACCUUUCGUACAAAGGUUUAAUGGUGUUCUUAGAAGGCCCACUUUUCACAAUAUUUAAUUUUUUAUACGCACGUUGAGUUUUCUCAAUUGACUUCUUUUGUUGAAUGUAAAUUUCAACAAUUUGAGAGCGCUUGUGUGGCGUGUACUGUUCCAUGGUAAAAAUCUGCCUGGGCUGACGCUUCCGACGCGGCACGUCAUUAGGCGAUCUGACGUCUCUAUCAAAAGAUACAGGGUUUCCAGAUUGGUCCGGGGAAUAUGGGCAACCCUGUAUAAGCCUAAAAGGAGACUGGUGAAAAAUAAAAAAGCUUUGCCGCAAACAAUUAAUUAGUUUUUAUUUUUGCACCGACUUUUCAAACUACAAGGGUCGUUACAUACAUAUUUCCAAUGUGACAAACCGAAUUUGAAACUGUUUUUUUCUUAUCAACCGACCAUAUUUUCCUAGAUUACAACUGCGGUCCCAUGCAGCCGAGAUUUAUCAAUUACAACAAAUGCAAGAUGCGGUUUGCUUUCAAAAUACUCUUAUCUUUCGGUAGUUAUAAUCUGCUUUAAGCUAUCGCGACACGCUCAUGCAUUUGCUGUCCAGCAGCUCCAGCGGCUUAUAUGUGUGCGUGUCGGGUGCCACCCGUACUUGUUUCGUGUCACACAUACUUGUUGUCGGCUUUUGCAUGAUGAAAAUCAAAAAUUUUAGAUUUUUUCGCGGGCAAGCGUCAUGCACCCGACACGCACACAUACAUAUGUAAGAGCUGCUGGACAGCAAAUGCAUGAGCGUGUCGCCGUAGCUUUAGAAAAGUGUUAAGGGGGUCUUCUGGUCUCCAGCGAAAAAAAAAUCGAUUUUUUUUUUUGCAUAAUUUUGUUGUAUGUGUAUGCGAGAAUACGCCACAGAAAGGAUUUUUUGAAAAUCGCAUUUUUUCACAUUUUUCUGGGCACCGAAGUGUACCCUCCUCCGGCCGUUUUAUCAUAAACUUUAUCUUUAAACGCGUUUCCCCGAAAAUCGUGUUUUUUAAGCAUUUUGGUCACACUUUUCAUAGUAGUUAUACUCCGAUUUCAAUGGUUUUGGUCUUAAAAGUUCGGAAAACUUACCGCUAAGUUUCCCCGUGUACGAUUUUUGAAAUUUUUUUUCAUUCCAUUUUUAUAACCUUUUAAGUUCAAAAAAUGAGCAAAAAAAAAUUUUUUUUGCAAAUUGUUGCAUAACUUUUGAAAAAAAUUUAAAAAAAAAAAAUCUGUCACGGGAAAACUUAACCAGGGUAACUCUGAAGACAACGCAUAUCUAAUUUUUGCUUUCUGAUUACCCAGGUGGAAAAACCGUGACCAAAAUGGAGACCUGUUUCGUUUGGAGGUGGACGCCUUCAGCGCCAUUUCAAGGUCGCGGGUGUUAAUUUUUUUCAAAGUCAAAACCAUUUUUUAAAAGCCAAGACAUGUACCUUUAAAAUAAAAAAAAUUUUUUUUUAAAAUAUUCACAGGAUUUGUCACAAUCAAUCCCCAAAAAAACCCUUCAUUUCAGGGCCUCGAGACCAGAAGACCCCCUUAAGCGCAUUGAAAGCCUUUUAUCAAACACGAAAGCGCAUGUGAAAAUAUUUUUUUUUGUUUCCAAAAAUUCCUCGAAUUUUCACCCAAAACCCACAUAAAAUGUUUUUGUGUUUGUUUACACAAAUAAGCUAGCAAAUAUUGUUUUUGAUUUCUUAUCUUGGAGAUUUUUGUCCUUCCCCCAAAAUCUUAUCAAACUUGUUGCAAAUCUCGAUAUUUUCGUGCCACUCUGCGCUUGCUGCUGCUUCUCUGCUCUGGCUUAAUCUCUAAAAGUUGUCUGUGUGUCAAUGCGGUGGUUUAGCUAUCAUCUAUUGUACUCGUACGUAUGUAUAUGUGUAUAAAAUUUUGUGUAUAACAACAAAAUUACUAGGCAGUCACGUACAUAUUCAACAAAUAUCGUCUCUCUUUGAUCCGAAGGGAGGAUGGACCUCCUGUUGCCUGACAAUCAGCGUAAGGACGACAACAAAGGCCACAAACCUUCGCAGUCGAACAAAUCUAAUCAACACAAAAACAACUAUUGAAACAUAAAUUUACUUUAUUCACAAUUCACUGCCAUUUUGUGUAUGCGUUUGUAUUUGCGUCUGUGUUUGUCUAGGAUCUGUUUGACAGUUAAUGGUGUCGUUGGUUUGUUGGAAAAUUUUGUUGAAAUUGGUUUCGGAUUGUGCGAGAUGAGACAGCAGUUGCACUCAACCAAAUCCAAGACAAUUUACGCUAAGCCAAUGCGGUGAUUUCUAGUCUGGCUGCUUUGAAUUGAGUUUUCGGUGUGUAAUCCCAGCGCUUUACUGUUGCUCUUUGUCGCUUAUUGUUUUACUUUUAUUCGUUUUAUUUACGAUGUUCAAGAAUGUGCACAUUGACCCAAGAAGUUAUGAUAAGUCCUUUUUCAUAAAAAAGUAAUACAUUCCUUUUUCUAUACCCCCAAAUGCAAUGAAAACUUUAAGCUUCACAGUUGCUCUAUAAAAUUAAGGCGCCUUAAAAACUUUAAUUUUAUCUUUUUUCCAUUUUUAUUUCUAUUUUUAUUUUUAUUUUUAUUUUUUGUAAUCAGUUGUGUCUCUAAAAAAUCAGCAGCAAGCAGACCCCAGCAGCACUCAGUGGCAUGCAUUUUGGUACUUACAAGUAUAGUAUUGAAAUUGUAGCGCUGCUGUUGUCGGUUUUCAUCUAACUGUGGUUGUUUUCGUUAGCACCAUUUGUGUGGUUAUUGCCUUUCAUGGUUUUAUUGCUCUGUUGCUGCUGAAAUAAAUCGAUGCUGCUGACCUAAAUAUGAGUCAACGACAAAAAAAAAGGAGUCAGUGCUGCUAAAUACCUACAAAUGCAUACACACAUAGAAACUUACUUACUUAGAUAUAUUACGUCAGUUUCUAUGUGCGAUAAAGGGUUUUCUCAGAGGCGCUAGCCAUUAAAUGAAAACUAAAUAGUAUUCCAUUACAUUACCUUACCCAUAGAGUAUAUCCAGAUCUGAUCUAGAACCGCUAUCGUAGAGACAUAAUUUUCAACGAUGUGACUGCUUACCAAAUGGGUUCGAUAUAACUGAUAAAUGCAGUGGCUUAUAUGUACAGGGUUGCCAAUAUUCGACGGACCCAUCUGGCAACCCUGUAUCUUUUGACAGAGAUGUCACAUCGCUUAAUGACAUACCGCGUUGGAAGCGUCAAUCUAAGCAGAUUUUUACCAUGGAACAGUACACGCCACGCGAGCUCUCCUAAAUUGUUGAAAUUUACAUUCAACAAAAGAAGUCAAUUGUGAAAACUCAACGUCAACUCAGCGUAAAAAAAUUAAAUAAUGUUAAAAGUGCGCCUUCUAAGAACACCAUUAAACGUUUGUACGAAAGGUUUUCGACUGGUGAUGCUCUUUCUAAUCCAAAGAGGCCAAAUCAAAACCGACCAAGGUGUCGCCAAGGACAUCCCAAAAUCGCCGUUCUCAGCAGAUGGGCAUUGCUCGGACCACUUUAUAACAAAUUAUGCGCAUUGAUUUGCAUUUAUUCCCGUAUAAGAUUCAAUUGACGCAAAGAUUGUUGCCUGCGGACAAGCCUCGUCGAUUGGAAUGGGCCCAAAGCGUCAUCGAUAUCCGUCGGGUCCGUCGAAUAUGGGCUUCGUGUGAUCUUUAGUUUAGUUUAGAAGAAUAUUUAUGAAGCUUUUCACAUAAGUUAGCAUCAUCUUCAUCAUUUGGCGUUACAAGCCGAGGGGGGCUUGUUAGCUUUCUCUACGAUAUUCCUCCAGGUCUCUCUGUCUCUUGCUAGAUAUUUCCAGUUGGUUGCUUCGUGCGUUCGUAGGUCUUCUUCUAUGUAGUUUAUUAGUCGUUUACGCGGGCGAAUUUUAUUUCUCUUUGUCAUAGGUUUGUGCUGCAUUAUUAGUUUUCUUCCAUUCUUAGAAAAUGUCCAAUUAACCUUAGCUUUUGCUCUUCGAUGAUGAAUUUGACAAUGCCCGUCCUCGCCAUGCAUAAAUUAGAGUAACUCUUUGUUGGUUCGUAUUAUAUAAUCACUUCUUUUGUUUAGUCUGGGGCUAUAUAUCCUCCAGAGUAUCUUUCUCUCAAAGACUCGGACGGGUUCUUCUUCGGGUGUUGUCAUAAACCACAUUUCCGAGCCAUAUGUAGCAAUGGGUCCCAAUAUUAUUGUUAUAUAUACUCAGCUUGCAAUUCCUAGUCCAGAGCAUGUUUUAUUUGCAGCAAUUAUUCGUUCCUGAAUGAUAUCUAACGUGAUUGCCUUGUAUUCUAAAUAAUUUCUUAGGGCAAUUUUCAUAUUAUCAGAUAUCGAAAACGAAUAUCAAUAAGUGUAAAUCCAUACAAAUUGCAUUGCCGUGAAAUAUGCAUGAAAUUUCAUAUGCACCUCACGGUAGAGUAGUACUCAGUUCACACCGUGAAAACACCACGCAACAUGCCAGCAACAUUUUUUCACCCUAUUUCAAAUGCGCAUCACUUAAACUUGAGCAAGAAGUGUCAGUUCGUUUGCAAGUGAAGUGCCUGAGUUUGAAUACUCCGCAGACCUGGCAUUUUAAAGCGAAACGUCUUUACAAAGAGUGUAGGUAUCAUAAAUCUACUUUAUACUACAUAUUUUUUCUUUUGUCAAUAUAUAUGAAUGUGUGUUAAUUUGUUUAAAAAUACGUUUUUUGCCAAAAUUUUUCAUACAUUUCUUUGUUUACAUUUAUUCAAUUUUUAAUUUGGACAAUUCAAUUAUUUUCUUCUCAGUUGACAAUCAGUGUUGCUAGUAACUUUUCACGGCUAUUAAAAUGCAUGUUGCUGGCGAAAUUUCAUGUGAAGUUAGUACUAACAACCACAAAAUUUGGCCGCUCUUUAUAGCUUUAGAGUGUCAGCAACAUAAAGGCGUUACAUAUCUAAAAAGUUUACAUAACUCUCUUAUUGAAUAACCCUGUAUUUAUGCUCAACGCUACCUUUUUUUGAUUUAGUUUUCCGUUUUUGUUUCCACAUAGUUUUGUUGUGAAUUGCUUAUGCUGUUUAUAGUUUGUAUGUUACUCGUAUGUGUUUGUCAGACAUAUCUGGUGCAAGUUGACACUUUGGUAAAUCGAAAUUGUUUUUGAAAUUUUAAAUCAUUAAGACAAUAAUUGAGUUCUGUAAAUGUUGCUGUUGUCACAAACAAAGUGAUUAUAAAAUAUUGAAAUUAAAGGUUUAAAGUUUCAUGGUAAUAAUUAUUAAUCCAUUUCGAAGAAGAAACAAGUGGUGAGUUACAGUUGAUUUUAUAGUUGGGAGAAUGCCAAUAUGUCAAGGCUGAUUAGAGAAGAGAAAGUGUCAAACAUUUGAAUACAAUAAAAUUUAUAGAAUGGAAUUGAGUACAGCGUGAAAGUUAGUUGAAUGUUUCAUAAAUAUUUCUUGAUUGCUUUUUAUAAGUUCUUAUAAGUUUUUAUAAGUUAACAAGUUUGCAGAAAGUGGAAUAAAUUUAUGAUUCGCAUGUUGUGCUGAGUUUCAAUCCAAAAUAAUCUGGAACUACACUGCAGCCUCUCCAAUAGUAACACACAAGCAGUAUUAAAUUUUUGAGAAAAAAAUGCAAUCACUUGAAAUAAGUAUAUUUAAUCCUCAAGGCCUCAUUUAUAUUUAGUCCUUAACUUCACAGCUGUGAAAUUUCGCCAGCAACACGCACUUCAUUUGGGGUGAAAUGUUGCUAGCAACAUUGAUUGGCAAAGGAGAGGACACGCUAAAUUUAUGAGUGUCGCCCCAGAAGAAAUUGCCCAAUUUUUGUAAUAAAGUGGUUUUACACGAGCUAUCACACACAUGCACAUAUAUAUAUUUACACAAAAAAUAUAAAGAAAAUUUACUUACACUCUUUGCGAAGACGGGUUUCUUAAAAAGGCUAUGUCUUCGGAGUAUUCAAAGGCGCUUCACUCGUAAACGAUCUGUCAGUUUUCGCUCAUAUGACAUGAGUAUUUAAAUUUGGUGAAAAAAUGUUGCUAGCAUCAUGUUCCUGGUGACUGUGCGCGGUGUUUCUACUGCUUAAAUUGCAUACUACAUUGCCGUGAGGUACAUACGGCAAUACAAUUUGUAUAGAUUUUGACAGCCAUUGCACGUGUAACGCGAACUUAGUACUAUGCUUUAUAAGAAAUUUAUCUGAAGAAACAUAUUCUACUCAAUGUGGUUUUUUCCAUAAAAGAAAAUUUGGGGGAAAAAAUUUAAUUAAACAAUUUAAUAUACUAGUUCAUCACAUUCCUCUCUUUGGGUCAUUGUCGUAAAAAGCAGAUUGCAAAUAUUCAAGUCGUUCCCACGACAGUCGGUUCUACGUAACCGGAACGACCCGGAUUUAUAUCCGGCCAAAGACUGUCACUUCAGCAGCAAUCCCAGUAUAUAUAUGGGGAUUAUUUAUGCUGCUACAACAUCAACAACCACAGAAUACCCUUUGAGUCUACUGUUGCUUUUGCUUUUGUACCCUUGGUAUGGUAUAAUACCAAUACAAACGUGGCGGGGUCAAUAUGGUACAUAUUGACAGGUUAUUGUCCAUUGAAACUGAGUGAUCCUUCUUUUUCCCAGACUUCUCUUGAUCAAUAAAAGCUGGAUACAGCUUCUGACUUAUGUGUUGAUGACUCUUCCAGCUUAUUGCAAUACAUCGUAUUGCAUUCCGGUAUUCAAACUUUUUAUGAAUACUUUCCCAUGAAGCUUUAAAAAGUCUGAAACCAUUAUUAGCAAAUGUAGACUUAGUUUAGAAUUGAUUCUCUGUCUGGGAAUCGAUUUCAAUAAUCCCAGGUUUCUGGGCAACUGGAAAUUUAUAAUUUAAUCUUGAUAAGGGUCUGCGUUAACAUACACACUUUCUAAAUACAAACACUCGUACUCGAUUUUUUGCUCAACGACAGGAGAACAACAAAGAAAUAACCGAACUCACUACAAUUCAUUCAACCUGUCCCACGCGACGUAUCAACUUGUCGGCAAAAAAUCGUGAAGACAAAGAAACUCACGAAGACUCAGACCAACCAGUUCUUUGUGCGCCAAAAAACACUUUUCUCUGCUUGCGAUUUUUUUUUACAUAUUUGUAUGUGGACGUAGAUAUGUACAUACAUAUGAAUAAGUAUCCAUGCAUAUGUAAGUUAUUCAAAAAAGGAUGUUCACACUUCUGCUUUUUCCUGAAAUAAGCAAAGGGAAUUUAAGAGUUUAAGUACAUGGAAAAGUGUGCGAUGAUCGAAAACAAGCAAAGUAGCAAAAGAAAAAGUGAUUUGAAAAAGUGGUUUGAAUGAAAAGUAAGGGGUUUGGGUAAUUCGUUGACAAUAGCAAUGGUAGUGAUAGAUGGUAGGCGUUAGGCAGGCGUUAGUCUUUUGUUUUCAUACUCACGGCGGUAUAUCCUGUUUCUGGUUUUGUGUCAUCUGAUAGAGCACUCUGAUGCCAGAAUGACGAUGAGGGCUGCCAGCUGCAGGGGUUCAGAACAGCGACUAACAAUGAGGAGCGAAAAAAUGAUAUCAAUUUAGGAGAAUAAAAUGAAAUAAAGCAAAUUAUAGUUGAAAUUAAAAUCAAACUGGGCUGAACCAAAUUAAAUUACACAUAGCUGAGUUAUAUAAAAUUGAGGAAGUAAAUUGAAUUGAUAAACAUGUAAAAAUGGAAUAUGGAAAUAAAAUGAAGUAAAGCAACAGAACACAACUGAACAUUACAUAAGACAACUUAAUAAAACAUAGCAGAAUAGAAUAAAGCCAAAACGAAAAUGAAAGAAAAAAUAAAAACAGGGGAGAAAACAUGGAAAAAAGGAAAAAAAAGAAAAAAGGAAAAAAAAGAAAAAAAAGAAA